rnacentral:lncRNA from 1 species
GAAACUUUCAUACAACUAGCUGAAAGAAGAGAAACAUCCUAUUUUAUGUCACUGGAGCCCUAAUGAUCGCAGCCAUUUCAGGAAAUGCCAUCAAUUACAGUGAGGAGCUCAUUCAGAAGUGAAAGAUGAGUUCCAUUCUCUGUUACUUAGAGGUAUUACAAAGCUCAAAUCUGAGAAAACCUUGUCUACCAUCAACCCUGACCUACAGAGGAGAGCCACCCCCAAACUUAUUAGUGAUCCUGUCUCUGUCUUAUUGGCACAUCCUGAUGGCCUUGAUCUCUAGUUCUUCCUGUGGAGCAUAACCAUAUGGUUCUUUGCCAAGAUGUUAAGACCAAAGUCGGAGAGUGAACCCCAUGUCAAUGAAUUCUUGUUUUUCUGAUCUUACAUUCUAUCACUUUGAUCCGGUACUCUCAAAAUGCAAUCACAGUUGUACAUGUCUUCUCCUGUCAAUAAACGCUACCUUAGUACUGCA